AGUCUUACCGUUUUCCAUCAAGGUGUCACCAAUCUUCCAGUCUCCCAGGCAGAAGUCUUUGAGAGCUUCAACCAGCACUACUAGUUGAGGACCUAUGCAGUGUUUGUCUAUGAGCAUGGAAUGACUCAAACUGGCAUCAGAGUUAGGGACCCACUUUAAAGGAAAGGGGAUGCAGUAGUGGGCACAUGACUAAGAAAUCCACCGAUCCUCUCAUAUACUGCACCACCAGAAGCUGCUGGAUUAGCAGAGCAAAGGCAAAGAUUGACCAGGCCAAGCCCUGAGACACAGUGUUGAGAGCCAAGACAUAAAGUCGUGAAGAUUCAGGCCCAGAGCCCAGCAGGGCACAGGCUGGAGGGGUGAUGUGAUGUGAGUGAUCAGUAACACCAUGAAGACUCUGCUUCUGGGUCAGAAAUGCUUUUUUGUCCCUGUUUUGGAUUUUCCACCAUGAGCAGCCAAUGCAGAAAGAAAUCU
rnacentral:lncRNA from 1 species